rnacentral:tRNA from 1 species
GGGCUGUAGCUCAACGGUAGACUGCUUGCUUAAAAUGCAUGGGUCUGAGUUCAAUCCCCAGCAGCAUCA